UAGAGACUUGAAUCGCAGUAACUAGUGCCCUUUGAUCAAUAGAAUAUGGCUGUGUUUCCGCAGCACUUUUUCCACUGCUCCUAUUGGCCGAAGGAAGGUUCGAGCAGUCACGUGUAUGGUUCCUUUUUAUUAUUCUCAAAUAAUACCUGCUUCAAGAGCAUCCCAGCGGUACAAAAGGAACGAGGAUGCUGCAGACACCUUCAGCAAUGCAGUCCGAUAUCUUCACCUGUAUAAGAUUUCGUUAUGCAUACCUUCUUCGUCCAUUUUGCUAAGGAUCAUGAGAGCUGUUCCUGAUUCUUCGCUCCAUCUGUAGUACAAUCUCUCGCUCACGCUUUAUUUUUUUGGUGGGAACCAUGAGGAUCUUGAGCUGGGUGCAAACCAAGUUCAGUGGGAGACAGGAGCAUAAGCGAUGUGCUGCUGCUUUGAGUUCUGCUUCUUGUACUUCAAUCCCUGUUAUUUCUAAAGAAGAAUUCCGGGACUGGCCGCAGGCGUUGUUGGCAAUCGGGACAUUAGGCAACAGAGACAUCAAAGAAGAAGACCCACAAAGACCUGAAUCCUCGGAAAACCUGCAAGCUUCAGAAGAUCUGCCUGAUUUCACCAUGGAAAUGGAAGAAGUGAACAGAUUCCUGGUAGAGCUAGUCAAGCUACUGACUCGAAAGCCGAAUUCUAGCACCAGUGCACCAGAGAUCGCUGAAGCAGAUCGGGCUAAUCUGCUACUGAAUUGGUUCCUUAAUCGCCCAUCGAGCUUGGAAGUUGACAGGAAACUGGAGAAUCUUGGCGAUCUCUCUCCCAGUACCAAGAUCAUACUAUCUAAAGUGAGAGAUGCUUUGUUGAGCAACCGCACCGCGAUUAAGAAGGAAUCACUCUCAUUUCUUUUCAAGAAGUUGUUUGUAUGUGGAGGUGGUUUUGCGCCGCCUCGGAACUUGAAGGAUCCAAUUCCUGAGCCGAGAAUUGAUAAGGUUUUGAGGGCAAUUCUGACCAAGAAGAUUUACCCUCGAAGCUCUGCUCUGGCACCAGCAAAGAAGUACUUGGCGAAUAAACCCACUGAGAAGAUGCAGGAAGAGGACAAAAGGAAAGAUCAGUAUAAAUGGGUUAAGACCGAUUCUGAGUGUAAGAUGUUUCAUUCAUGCGUUAGUGCAUUCUGAUAGCAUGCCCAAGGUAACACUGACAAGAAAAUUCUGCUUGCCUCCAGUUAUAGAACUUAUUGUUCUAGAGAUCUAGAGACCAAUCUAUCUAGAGAGUCUCGGUAAGAUCCCGACACAAUCUUUCUCUGAUCUCCAGUGCCGACUCCUCUGGUUGCAAUCCCAUUUAAUUCCCUGUGGAUGAUAGGGGAACGAGACCAAGAAAGAUGAGCUCAAACUGAAACGGCAAGGAAAGGAGGCACAGAGCAGAACCAGAAGUUCUCUGCAAUUGAUAAAAGAAUAGCGAAGGCUCCAAACGGGAGGCGUUUAAUCUUCUGAUGCGUGUCCUGAUGCGAAUUCUGAUUUCAGAGUUGAGUCGAGUCUAAUCAAUUCAGAUUAGGUUCACGUUCAAUUGAAUUUAUUAUGAACUUAGCGUCAAAAUUUAAGCUUGAAUCAUGAACGCUGCGUCUAAUCAAGCUCAGCAAGCUUGAGCUUCUUGUCACGCUUCUGUCUUAGGUUACUUAUCGUAUGAGAGGGAUACAUCUGAUGAUUGAUUCGGUUUCCCACAGGAAAACUGGGAGCAAGAAAUCCUGUACAAAUUAGAUUCACGUUGUAAAUAGAUUAAUACAUUUAACGAAUAUAUGACGCCAUAGAGCUUCACGGGAUUCCCACAGCAAAUGGAGCGUCGUUUGGAGCCGCGUACACUGCACUCGACUCUUGGGGUCCACAGAGCCUGCCGAUGUCCUCGGGAGUCCAGGGGGGCGCACAAUUAGUGCUUAUUUGUGGACUCGGAACCGCAUCGUCUUUGUCUGCAAUCAAAGUGUCAGGUAAACGUGGCUUCAAAUACGCGCACGCUGCUCGAUCCGUGACAUUUGAUCCCGCCCCUCCGACGAUCCGCUGCGGUCCUCCACUACUGGUGACAGAGUCAACUGUUAGUCUGAUUCCAUCGGUGACUCGAUUUCCGCUCCCGACGGGAAACCCACGCAAUACAGUCAAUAGAUGCAGGGCCCGAUCCACCGAUCGGAGGCGAUAAAAACCCUAAUCCUCGCUAGAAAUUAGGCCACCGGAAAGAGGAAAUUAUCCAUCCGUUCCUGAUUUUUCUUUCUCAGUUCUUUCGAUCUUUACCUCUGAGGAGGAAAAACGGCGUCGCUUUUCCGGCUAGGGAUUCGGAUUUUCGGGACUGGGAAUUGGAUCUCCGACUCGGACGCAACUGGUGGCUGCCGGUGGGUUCGGGUUGAACGACUCUAGGGUUCCGAAAGAUCGCGUUCUUCUCAAGGAGAUUCGGGGGAAGACACGGACUGUUAGGCUGGGGGUGGUGUGGCGGUCCUGAAUUUGGGCUGCCGACGCUAUUUGUGAAAGUUUUAGGGGACAUUUGGGUGAUCGUUUGACAGGCCUAAAGGUUUGGGGCGCAAUGUCGUGGGCGGGACCAGAAGAUAUCUUGUUCUCCACCUCCCUUGCAAGCUAUCUUGAUAAAAAGCUUCUUGUAUUAUUACGUGAUGGGCGAAAGCUUCUGGCAAAUGUGGUUCUUCAAGGUGCUUGUGAGCGAGUAAUUGUAGGAGAUCUGUAUUGUGAUAUUCCUCUUGGUCUCUAUGUCAUUCGUGGGGAGAAUGUUGUCUUAAUAGGAGAAA